CCUACGGGCGGCAGCAGUGAGGAAUAUUGGUCAAUGGACGGAAGUCUGAACCAGCCAUUCCGCGUGCAGGAAGACGGCCCUAUGAGUUGUAAACUGCUUUUGUACAAGGGUAAACCUGAAUACGUGUAUUCAGCUGAAAGUACUGUACGAAUAGGGUACGGCUAACUCCGUGCCAGCAGCCGCGGUACGACGGAGGAUACAAGGGUUAUCCGGAUUUAUUGGGUUUAAAGGGUGCGUAGGCGGAUUGAUAAGUUAGAGAUGAAAUGUCCGCGCUUAACUCGGGAACUGCCUCUAAUACUGUUGAUCUAGAGAGUAGAUGCGGUAGGCGGAAUGUAUGGUGUAGCAGUGAAAUGCUUAGAGAUCAUACAGAACACCGAUGGCGAAGGCAGCUUACCAAUCUAUAUCUGACGUUGAGGCACGAAAGCGUGGGGAGCAAACAGGAUUAGAUACCCGGGUAGUC
rnacentral:rRNA from 1 species